rnacentral:rRNA from 1 species
GAUGAACGCUAGCUACAGGCUUAACACAUGCAAGUCGAGGGGAAACGACAUCGAAAGCUUGCUUUUGAUGGGCGUCGACCGGCGCACGGGUGAGUAACGCGUAUCCAACCUGCCCACCACUUGGGGAUAACCUUGCGAAAGUAAGACUAAUACCCAAUGACGGCUCUAGAAGACAUCUGAAAGAGAUUAAAGAUUUAUCGGUGAUGGAUGGGGAUGCGUCUGAUUAGCUUGUUGGCGGGGUAACGGCCCACCAAGGCGACGAUCAGUAGGGGUUCUGAGAGGAAGGUCCCCCACAUUGGAACUGGGACACGGUCCAAACUCCUACGGGAGGCAGCAGUGAGGAAUAUUGGUCAAUGGGCGAGAGCCUGAACCAGCCAAGUAGCGUGCAGGAUGACGGCCCUAUGGGUUGUAAACUGCUUUUAUAAGGGAAUAAAGUGAGUCUCGUGAGACUUUUUGCAUGUACCUUAUGAAUAAGGACCGGCUAAUUCCGUGCCAGCCGCCGCGGUAA